rnacentral:rRNA from 1 species
GACGAACGCUGGCGGCGUGCUUAACACAUGCAAGUCGAACGGAAAGGCCCUGCUUGCAGGGUGCUCGAGUGGCGAACGGGUGAGUAACACGUGGGUGAUCUGCCCCUUAUUUUGGGAUAGGCCUGGGAAACUGGGUCUAAUACUGGAUAGGACCAUGCUGUAGGUGGUGUGGUGGAAAGAUUAGUUUCGGUAAGGGAUGAGCUCGCGGCCUAUCAGCUUGUUGGUGGGGUAAUGGCCUACCAAGGCGUCGACGGGUAGCCGGCCUGAGAGGGUGGACGGCCACAUUGGGACUGAGAUACGGCCCAGACUCCUACGGGAGGCAGCAGUGGGGAAUAUUGCACAAUGGGCGCAAGCCUGAUGCAGCGACGCCGCGUGGGGGAUGACGGCCUUCGGGUUGUAAACUCCUUUCAGCCAUGACGAAGCCCUUGUGGUGACGGUAGUGGUAGAAGAAGCACCGGCUAACUACGUG